AUCCAGCUGACGAGUCCCAAAUAGGACGAAACGCGAGUGCAGGAU
rnacentral:hammerhead_ribozyme from 1 species